GCUUUUGUGGCGAAAUUGGGUAUACGCACCAAGUUUAGGCCUUGGAAUCUUUAUUAGAUUUGUGGGUUCAAGUCCCACCAAAAGCA
rnacentral:tRNA from 1 species